UUGGAGGGCAAGUCUGGUGCCAGCAGCCGCGGUAAUUCCAGCUCCAAUAGCGUAUAUUAAAGUUGUUGCAGUUAAAAAGCUCGUAGUUGAAUUUCGGGAUCAAAUUGUUGGUCGUGCUUCAGUACGCACUGGCAUUAUUGGUUCUUACCUUCUGAAGAACCGCGAUGUCAUUAAUUUGGUGUCGUGGGGAAUCAGGACUGUUACUUUGAAAAAAUUAGAGUGUUUAAAGCAGGCGCACGCUUGAAUACAUUAGCAUGGAAUAAUGAAAUAGGACGUCUGAUUCUAUUUUGUUGGUUUCUAGGAUCGACGUAAUGAUUAAUAGGGAUAGUUGGGGGCAUUAGUAUUCAAUUGUCARAGGUGAAAUUCUUGGAUUUAUUGAAGACUAACUACUGCGAAAGCAUUUGCCAAGGAUGUUUUCAUUAAUCAAGAACGAAAGUUAGGGGAUCGAAGACGAUCAGAUACCGUCGUAGUCUUAACCAUAAACUAUGCCGACUAGGGAUCGGAUGAUGUUAAUUUUUUAAUGACUCAUUCGGCACCUUACGGGAAACCAAAG
rnacentral:rRNA from 1 species